rnacentral:rRNA from 1 species
AGCGAACGUUAGCGGCGGGCCUAACACAUGCAAGUCGAGCGAGAAAAGGGCUUCGGCUCUUAGUAAAGCGGCGGACGGGUGAGUAACACGUAGGUAAUCUUCCCUUGAGCGGGGGACAACGAGCCGAAAGGCUCGCUAAUACCGCAUAAGUUUCCCGGGACUCUGGUUCUGGGAAGGAAAGCUAGGCCGCAAGGUCCGGCACUCGAGGAGGAGCCUGCGUCGCAUCAGCUAGUUGGUGGGGUAACGGCCACCAAGGCGAAGACGCGUAGCUGGUCUGAGAGGAUGAUCAGCCACACUGGGACUGAGACACGGCCCAGACUCCUACGGGAGGCAGCAGUGGGGAAUAUUGGACAAUGGGCGCAAGCCUGAUCCAGCCACGCCGCGUGAGUGAUGAAGGCCU